GUCAGUGUUGUGAAAAUAUGGCAGGUAAUUCAAGUUCGUGUUUUGAAGCCGAAGUUUAACGAUUGUCACCUGUUUGUCAACAAUCGACAAAAAAUCAACAAAAAAGCAUGGAAAUUGAGCACGUGUUUAACAUGUAAAUUCAGAUAAUCAUUAGUCUAUUUUAAGGACAUCCAUGCGUAUUGUGAUCACCGGAUUUUUACGAGAUGGGUCACACUGAGGUCACUUUGCAUACGGAAAAUAUGUCGGGGGAAUUAUUUUCUGGAAGGAAGCAAUUAAAAUAAAGUAAACUUCUUCUAAAUAUGAAUAAAUUAAAGAAUUUUCUUCAGAAAAAAGUAUAUGUACAUAAGUUUUAUAAUG
rnacentral:lncRNA from 1 species